GAGCCGUUAGCUCAGUUGGUAGAGCAUCUGACUUUUAAUCAGAGGGUCGCAGGUU
rnacentral:tRNA from 1 species